rnacentral:rRNA from 1 species
UGUGGUUUAAUUCGAAGCAACGCGUAAGAACCUUACCAGGUCUUGACAUCCGAUGCUAUUUCUAGAGAUAGAAAGUUACUUCGGUACAUCGGUGACAGGUGGUGCAUGGUUGUCGUCAGCUCGUGUCGUGAGAUGUUGGGUUAAGUCCCGCAACGAGCGCAACCCCUAUUGUUAGUUGCCAUCAUUCAGUUGGGCACUCUAGCGAGACUGCCGGUAAUAAACCGGAGGAAGGUGGGGAUGACGUCAAAUCAUCAUGCCCCUUAUGACCUGGGCUACACACGUGCUACAAUGGUUGGUACAACGAGUUGCGAGUCGGUGACGGCGAGCUAAUCUCUUAAAGCCAAUCUCAGUUCGGAUUGUAGGCUGCAACUCGCCUACAUGAAGUCGGAAUCGCUAGUAAUCGCGGAUCAGCACGCCGCGGUGAAUACGUUCCCGGGCCUU